ACUGCUUCCAGCAGAGGAAGAACUCCACAGUGCCAUAAAGAAUCCCUCUGGCUUUCAACAAACCAUUAUGUGAAGGUCAGGUCUAUAUGCUACCAAGAACAGUUAAGCCUUCAAACUAAUGUUUGAACACUGAGUACCUGACUGUGUCAGUCAUUCAAGAAGAGCCCAAGGCCUUUCCUGGGUCUGCAACCCUUAGCACCACCAAAGUUGAAGGGAAUGAUGUCAACUGCCCCAUCAUACCUCAAAUAGGAGACAGAUGGAAGCUACUUUCAACACCUCUAAUACCACAUCCACCAAAAUCAUCUUCUCCUGUGCAGCUACAGGAGUUAAUUCAUCCUAAGAUGCAUGAAGAAAGUAAGAAAUAAUUUUAGUCUCAACUAUCUUAAUUUGCUUACCUAACAUUUCAUAAUGUAUGAGCAUUAAAAAUUGUGUACAA